GGCGGCCGCGCAGGGCCCCGCCCCGCAGACCGCGCCGCGCCUGCGCGUCCCGCCCCGCCCCGCCCCGCCCCGCCCCGCGGGGUCCGCAGCAGGGCGGGGCUGCGCUCGCGCUGCAGCUUCUUGGAUCCCGGCCUGGCGGCCUCGGUGAUGCGCUCGGGGCCGACGAGAGCUCCUGCUUAGAGGGACCUGCGGGUUACGGAACCCAGACUCCCGGCAGCUACCUCUCCGCUGUGCGGGCGUCCCUGCCCCGCCAGCUCCGAGCGCUCGGCGAUGUUGCAUCCUGAUGUGCUGGACCUGAGUGUUGGCCGCAGUGCUGGGCUGCAGCCGCGCCCCUGCCUUUCCGCCCCGGCCGCUCUGCCUCCCCCACGCUGGGUUCUCGCUGUGCUAGACCCAAGGAACUGGCAUGGCCAGUCCAGCUUCUGGGUGGAAUCUGGCCGUGCCCCUGGCCGAAGCUUUCCUCCCCUUGGGGACAGAAGCAUUCCCGGGGGUGAGAGACAGCUGCUGCUGGAGUACUGCAGCCCUGUUACGUUUGCACUAACCCCCAGGGGCCCUCUAGAACCGUCGAACCUCCCACCUCCACCCCACAGUGUUGGCUGCUUGGGGCCCCUUGCAGCUCCAUAUGAACCUGAAGGUUGUCCUUUGUAUUUCUGCCGAGAAGGCCACUGGAGGGGUGACCGGCUGGCGUGAAGUCUCGGGUCCGCUGGGGAGCGCUGCCACUUUGUCAGGAUCUGGUCUUCCACCCCAAACAUUAUUCGGUGCUGGUGUAUCCUUUGAAUUCUGCCCUAGCCCGGAAAGUUCUGCUCAGCAGUGAACAAGAGGUGAAAGAGCACACCGGGCUUCGCUUUGUGCUUCACGGACCUGCCACCUCCCUACAGAACGGCGCCAUCAGCCUCCCCUGUGCAGGCCAAAGACUGGGUACCCUCACAUGGCGGGCUCCCGUGCCCAGCUGGCACGGAAGAGCCUCAUCCAGGCCUCCCGGCUGCGCCCUCCACUCUGCCCAGGGCCCCUCCUGGAGUCGCAGAACCCUCAGGGCCAUGUGGGGAGCCCCAGUCCCUGCUCUCGCUAGCCUGAGGCCAGAGGCUGCAGUUCUUGCCCCACCGAUAAACCCCAAGCCUGAGACCCUGGGGCGAAGCCUUCCCCACCCUCCACUACCCUAGGGACCCACGUCGGCCAGGGCGGGGCGGGAAGGCCUGCAAAGCUGGGAGGGCCCCUGCUCUUCCCCCAGACAGGGCCUCAUCAGCGUGGGGCUCGAGUGGGGCCCCUGGGGCGGGCAGCUUCCUGACCAUGUCUGCAUGGCCCCUUCUCCACCAUGGUGCUGUGCCGAGUGAUGCUGGCUCCAGGCUGGGAGGCCGUGGCGCUGGCCGUGGUGCCACGCUGCUUGGAGGCCAGCCCUUCCUCUCGGGAGCGGGGCCCUGGGGUGCAUGGCCGGUUGCUUCCCUGGCCCCUGGGACUGUCUGUGGGGCGGGUCUGUCCGAGGAUGCUGAGCUACCUCAGGGACAGAAGCAGGUUCUGGGGGUGGGAGUGGAAGCCAUCCCACCCAGGGUCAGGCUAAGGCAGGGGUCUCGUAGGUCAGGCAUCCCAGUGGUGGUUGGAGGUGGCAUGGCCGAUGGCGGAGGGCUGUGGGGCACAUGGGCUGCCUCCCUGGCCUGGGGACACGGAGCCCAGCCCGCCAGGUGGGGCCAAGAAGGCUGGUGUCCAGCACCAGGGGCGGAGGAGAGGCCCUGAGGAGCGGGUGCAGCCCUGGGUGUUUCCCACCCACGCGGAGUGCCCGGCGGCAGAGGUGCACUAUGGACCCUCCUGCUCCGGGAGGGGCAGCCUGCCCAGCUUGCUCCCGUCUCCACCGCUAGAGCCUCUCAGGACGGGUGGCCUUCCCUAUCGCUGGCCCCACCUCUGGUCACCUGGUGGGCGGGCAGGGUCUGCCCCCACUUGGCCUCUGGGCAGGGUGGGGUCAGAGGGGACUGGGCUAGCCCUGGGAUGUGGGCUGCAGCCGCAAGUGACAUGGUGCUCUGGUGUCACCCGAGGACGGCGGCCAUGCCAGCAUGCAUGGGCUGCUGCUCGGGCUCCUUUUGUCCUCCCUCCUCCCUCUCUCCUGGUGUGGCCUUCGCUCUGCGUUCCUGUAUCCUGACGACAGAGCAGCAGCCCCGGCUGAGGCCCACCUAAGCACCCGCUUCCCGGACUCGCAGGGCACUGCCUCCCAGCACUCACCUCCCAGGACCAGCCGUCUGUGAGCCCCAAGACUGGCGGGGCAGUAGAGGCCAGGGAGGCCCUGGAGGCUGUGGGCCCAGCUCAUCUGUCAGUGUCUCACAGGGCAUGUGCAGUCCUGUCCUCCCUCCUUGUCCCUGUGGCCACUUGAGGCCUGGCCAUUUGGCCUCCGUGUGUGGCUGGGCUUUCUUCUUCUGGGCACAUUGCAAAGCCAGCCUACAGCCGGGCCCUCGCCAUGGCCUCGAGGCCUGGGGUGGCUGGGGAUCUGACCGACUCCGGCCUCCUUCCCAAGACUGGCCACAGCUCCGCCUCCCACUACCGCGAACGCUCCCUCUGUGCUCAGGGUGUGCCGACGGAAAGGCCGAGGCUAACAGGAAGAACGUUACUCCUUAGCCAAGGCUGGCCCUGCACAGCCCCCACAAAUGCUGGGCACCUUUCUUGUUUAAAAUGAACCGUGACUAGCGAUCCCAGUGCAGGGGACCUCCAGGUCUCCAUGGCAACCACUGCCUCCCCACUUCUCUGGCCAGGGCAUGGGAGCAGCUGCCAUCUGUGACGCGGGAAUCUACUUUCUCACAGGCUGCACCCACGGCCAGGCCCCAGGUUUGUCGCUCGUGGCCGCGGGCAGCCCCUAGGGUCAACAGGCCCCCAGGACGGUGGCCAGCACAGCACCAGGGCUCCAGAGGCAGAAGCCAUGGCUGCGCGGCUGUCAGGGCUGCAGCCCCCCGGCACCUCUGCCAGGGACCCCUGAGCCUUUGUGGGCCUGUCUGGAAGGAGUGUCUCUGGCUCGUGGACAGAGGGGUGAUCAUCAGAAUGAUGCCCCCAAAGAUGCCCACAUCCCAACCGCAGGGCCUGCGGUAGGCUUGCCCGGGGGAAGGGGGCUGGAGGUUGGAGUUAGUUGAUUUGAAAACAGGACGGGGCCAGUCACCCAGGCGGCCCGCGGUCAUACAGCGCCCUUCACAACGCAGGGGACACGAGAGACUGGCCACGGCUGGCUCUGGAGAGGAGGCGGGGCGAGAGCCAAGGCCCGCAGGCCCCUGGAGGGGGAAGCGGCAGCGGGGUGCUGCCCGGGCCCACCGGCUCUGCCCUCCCAGCAGGUCGAGCACAGCGGGGCGCAGGAGUCCCUCCGGAGCCCGCCUCGGUGCGCCCAGACCUUACCGUGGGCCCGGGCCUGCCAGCCCUGUCUGGCCGCCCAUGGGGGUGGACGCUGCUUCCUGAAAGGAUGCUGCCAGUGGUCACUUCUGCACAUCUUUAUUUUUUAUUAAGUUUAUUAUUUGUCAUUGCUCUUAGCUUCACAUUACGAUUCCAUGUGUUGUCAAAGUCUUUUUCAAUUCUCAUUUUGGUAAAAUAAAUAGAGAUAAAUGAACUCUA